rnacentral:rRNA from 1 species
AUAUUUACUUUUUUAGGAACAAGCAAAAACACCCGAAACCAUUCCGAACUCGAAAAGUGAAAACUUGUUCCACCAUAUGUACUAAUUUGUAAACUUUGGGAGACGUGGUUAAGGUAAUUAG